CAAGACUUCAGGAGUUUGUUACGAAUAAAGGAUGUGGAAAUUAUUGUUUGCAUUUGGGUUCAUUUUUGGUACCUUCAGUCAUUUUGGUGUAACUAGGGUGGAUCCUCUGGCUUGACUAUUAGUUACAACGUCCUUACAUCAAGCAUAGCCAAUUUUUGGAAAUUUGGUACAAAUAGUCGGACAAAGAGGGGAAUAAAUUCGCAAUCAAAUGAUCGUCCUUCUUCUUCACUCUCCGCCAUCUGGACUCGAAAUCAUCAAAAUUUCGAAUCGAAUAACGAGCAACGAAUGGCGUCAAGAUCUUACCAGAAGUUUCUCAUCCCUUUAAACAGUUCAUUCCAAGCUCGAGCCGCAAUUUAAAAUCCAUUUGCCGGAUCGUUGUUCACUCACGCACGUUGAUAGACACUGAGGAG
rnacentral:lncRNA from 1 species